GACGAACGCUGGCGGCGCGCUUAACACAUGCAAGUCGAGCGAGAACCAGGGCUUCGGCCCUGGGGACAGCGGCGAACGGGUGAGUAACACGUGGAUAACCUGCCCUCGGCACCGGGAUAGCCCGGGGAAACCCGGAUUAAUACCGGGUGGCCCUUCCGGCUCACGAGCCGGUCGGAAAAGGUAGCUUCGGCCUCCGGCCGAGGAUGGGUCCGCGGCGGAUUAGCUUGUUGGUGGGGUAACGGCCCACCAAGGCUCCGAUCCGUAGCUGGUCUGGGAGGACGAUCAGCCACGAUGGGACUGAGACACGGCCCAGACUCCGACGGGAGGCAGCAGUGGGGAAUCUUGCGCAAUGGGCGAAAGCCUGACGCAGCGACGCCGCGUGAGGGAGGAAGGCCUUCGGGUUGUAAACCUCUUUCAGGAGGGACGAAGCUACUCGGGUGAAUAGCCCAGAGGGUGACGGUACCUCCAGAAGAAGCCCCGGCUAACUACGUGCCAGCCGCCGCCGUAAAAC
rnacentral:rRNA from 1 species